GUUCUGGAAGGCUGUAGUCUGAGGGUCUCUUGUGACACGGUGUGUAGAUGGAGGCUUCUGGAAGGCUGUGGUCUGGGGGUCUCUUGUGACACGGUGUGUAGAUGGAGGCUUCUGGAAGGCUGUAGUGUGAGGGUCUCUUGUGACACGGUGUGUAGAUGGAGGCUUUUGGAAGGCUGUGGUCUGGGGGUCUCGUGACAGGGUGUGUAGAUGGAGGCUUCUGGAAGGCUGUGGUCUGGG
rnacentral:lncRNA from 1 species